rnacentral:rRNA from 1 species
AGCGUACACGGUGGAUGCCCUGGCAGUCAGAGGCGAUGAAGGACGUGCUAAUCUGCGAUAAGCGUCGGUAAGGUGAUAUGAACCGUUAUAACCGGCGAUUUCCGAAUGGGGAAACCCAGUGUGAUUCGUCACACUAUCAUUAACUGAAUCCAUAGGUUAAUGAGGCGAACCGGGGGAACUGAAACAUCUAAGUACCCCGAGGAAAAGAAAUCAACCGAGAUUCCCCCAGUAGCGGCGAGCGAACGGGGAGCAGCCCAGAGCCUGAAUCAGUGUGUGUGUUAGUGGAAGCGUCUGGAAAGGCGCGCGAUACAGGGUGACAGCCCCGUACACAAAAAUGCACAUACUGUGAGCUCGAUGAGUAGGGCGGGACACGUGGUAUCCUGUCUGAAUAUGGGGGGACCAUCCUCCAAGGCUAAAUACUCCUGACUGACCGAUAGUGAACCAGUACCGUGAGGGAAAGGCGAAAAGAACCCCGGCGAGGGGAGUGAAAAAGAACCUGAAACCGUGUACGUACAAGCAGUGGGAGCCUCUUUAUGGGGUGACUGCGUACCUUUUGUAUAAUGGGUCAGCGACUUAUAUUCUGUAGCAAGGUUAACCGAAUAGGGGAGCCGAAGGGAAACCGAGUCUUAACUGGGCGUUAAGUUGCAGGGUAUAGACCCGAAACCCGGUGAUCUAGCCAUGGGCAGGUUGAAGGUUGGGUAACACUAACUGGAGGACCGAACCGACUAAUGUUGAAAAAUUAGCGGAUGACUUGUGGCUGGGGGUGAAAGGCCAAUCAAACCGGGAGAUAGCUGGUUCUCCCCGAAAGCUAUUUAGGUAGCGCCUCGUGAAUUCAUCUCCGGGGGUAGAGCACUGUUUCGGCAAGGGGGUCAUCCCGACUUACCAACCCGAUGCAAACUGCGAAUACCGGAGAAUGUUAUCACGGGAGACACACGGCGGGUGCUAACGUCCGUCGUGAAGAGGGAAACAACCCAGACCGCCAGCUAAGGUCCCAAAGUCAUGGUUAAGUGGGAAACGAUGUGGGAAGGCCCAGACAGCCAGGAUGUUGGCUUAGAAGCAGCCAUCAUUUAAAGAAAGCGUAAUAGCUCACUGGUCGAGUCGGCCUGCGCGGAAGAUGUAACGGGGCUAAACCAUGCACCGAAGCUGCGGCAGCGACACUAUGUGUUGUUGGGUAGGGGAGCGUUCUGUAAGCCUGUGAAGGUGUGCUGUGAGGUAUGCUGGAGGUAUCAGAAGUGCGAAUGCUGACAUAAGUAACGAUAAAGCGGGUGAAAAGCCCGCUCGCCGGAAGACCAAGGGUUCCUGUCCAACGUUAAUCGGGGCAGGGUGAGUCGACCCCUAAGGCGAGGCCGAAAGGCGUAGUCGAUGGGAAACAGGUUAAUAUUCCUGUACUUGGUGUUACUGCGAAGGGGGGACGGAGAAGGCUAUGUUGGCCGGGCGACGGUUGUCCCGGUUUAAGCGUGUAGGCUGGUUUUCCAGGCAAAUCCGGAAAAUCAAGGCUGAGGCGUGAUGACGAGGCACUACGGUGCUGAAGCAACAAAUGCCCUGCUUCCAGGAAAAGCCUCUAAGCAUCAGGUAACAUCAAAUCGUACCCCAAACCGACACAGGUGGUCAGGUAGAGAAUACCAAGGCGCUUGAGAGAACUCGGGUGAAGGAACUAGGCAAAAUGGUGCCGUAACUUCGGGAGAAGGCACGCUGAUAUGUAGGUGAAGUCCCUUGCGGAUGGAGCUGAAAUCAGUCGAAGAUACCAGCUGGCUGCAACUGUUUAUUAAAAACACAGCACUGUGCAAACACGAAAGUGGACGUAUACGGUGUGACGCCUGCCCGGUGCCGGAAGGUUAAUUGAUGGGGUUAGCGGUAACGCGAAGCUCUUGAUCGAAGCCCCGGUAAACGGCGGCCGUAACUAUAACGGUCCUAAGGUAGCGAAAUUCCUUGUCGGGUAAGUUCCGACCUGCACGAAUGGCGUAAUGAUGGCCAGGCUGUCUCCACCCGAGACUCAGUGAAAUUGAACUCGCUGUGAAGAUGCAGUGUACCCGCGGCAAGACGGAAAGACCCCGUGAACCUUUACUAUAGCUUGACACUGAACAUUGAGCCUUGAUGUGUAGGAUAGGUGGGAGGCUUUGAAGUGUGGACGCCAGUCUGCAUGGAGCCGACCUUGAAAUACCACCCUUUAAUGUUUGAUGUUCUAACGUUGGCCCCUGAUCGGGGUUGCGGACAGUGUCUGGUGGGUAGUUUGACUGGGGCGGUCUCCUCCUAAAGAGUAACGGAGGAGCACGAAGGUUGGCUAAUCCUGGUCGGACAUCAGGAGGUUAGUGCAAUGGCAUAAGCCAGCUUGACUGCGAGCGUGACGGCGCGAGCAGGUGCGAAAGCAGGUCAUAGUGAUCCGGUGGUUCUGAAUGGAAGGGCCAUCGCUCAACGGAUAAAAGGUACUCCGGGGAUAACAGGCUGAUACCGCCCAAGAGUUCAUAUCGACGGCGGUGUUUGGCACCUCGAUGUCGGCUCAUCACAUCCUGGGGCUGAAGUAGGUCCCAAGGGUAUGGCUGUUCGCCAUUUAAAGUGGUACGCGAGCUGGGUUUAGAACGUCGUGAGACAGUUCGGUCCCUAUCUGCCGUGGGCGCUGGAGAACUGAGGGGGGCUGCUCCUAGUACGAGAGGACCGGAGUGGACGCAUCACUGGUGUUCGGGUUGUCAUGCCAAUGGCACUGCCCGGUAGCUAAAUGCGGAAGAGAUAAGUGCUGAAAGCAUCUAAGCACGAAACUUGCCCCGAGAUGAGUUCUCCCUGACUCCUUGA